GGGGCUGAUCGGUUUCGACUGUGUACGUAGCGCUGGGGGAAGCGUGCCGGUGCAGGCAGGAGACCACCGUAAGCGUCGCUGCAAACCUAUAAGCGCCGAGAACACUCAGCGCGACUUCGCUCUCGCUGCCUAAGCGAUAGCAAGUCCGUCAGACCGGGAGCGCCCUCGGCCCGGACCCUGGCGUCGCAAGAGGGACAAACCUUACAGCCCGGUCACGGGGUUGUAGGGGACAUCAAACAGUGACUGGGAUCGUCAUCACAACUUGUCCGCGAGAUUGUGAGAUCCGAGUAGAGGCAUAGCGGACUGCGCACGGAGAAGCCCCAGCAAAAUGGCACAGGACCCGGGUUCAAUUCCCGGCAGCUCCACAG
rnacentral:tmRNA from 1 species